AUGGCGAAGUCCUGGUUCUCCGCGCCAACAGGCGGCACCGGUGGAAGUUUGUCGUCAGGCAGACCGUGGCGUCGCCGCCCUCACUCACCUGAACCAUCCGCAUUCACGACGGUGGGCUCCUCCAACAAGGAGGAGAUAGUCCUCUCCUCCGGCGACAAGGAGGACGAGCUGCAGCGGUGGCCAUGUCUACUCUCGAAGGCGGGUCAGACGGGUCCGGUGCCACCGUCUCCGGUGCGCGUGAAGGAGGAGCCACCCUCCUAUCCGCGGGUAAGGUACGGCCGGCGCAAUAUCGAUCACCGCUCCGAGUUCGCCAGGAAGGACGUGGUGUCGGAGUGGGUCCAGAACGACCCUGACCUCGUCGCCGCGUGGGCGCUCGACCACUCCAUCACCACUGCGGAGACAGCCGCCAGGCGCCGUCUUCGCCUUGACGACGAGCUCGCCAAGAUCGGCGAGGAGCAGCGACUGCUCCGCGAACGCCGGUCGCGGCAAGGCCGACGCCGCGGUUCCGCUGGCCACGUCAUCAGGGGCCGCGGCGACCCUUCAUAUGGCGCAGCAAGAGGCGGAGCAGCUCCUCCGCGAGUGCAGGUAGCUGCGGCCCUUCAGCGUUGUUUUGUCGCUGGAGGGACUGGAGGGACCACGACGACGGAGAUGGUGAUGCGGCAGGGCAAGGCGGACAAGCGUAUGAGCGCGCGGACGGGCAGGACGCGCACGCUUGUCCUCCCCUGGCCCGCCUAUCGGUGGGAGAAACCAAAACCCCCCACGCCCCAUUUGGCGCCAUUUCCUCAAACCCUCUCACGUCCCUCCCGCCGCCCCCUCUCUCCCUCGUUCAUGGCUGACGCCCAGCCGAAUUCCGGAGGCCUGGCCGUCGACCUGCCCGGAAAGGUGAAGAAGAAGGCGGCCAAGGCGGCAAGGAAGCUGCGGUCGGAGUGCACGCCGGAAGAGAUCGCCAGGUUGGACGCGAAAGCGGCGAAGAAGAGGAGCCGGAGAGCGGUCGUCAAGGUCAAUGCCGCCGUGGCCAAGUUCGCCGUUGAGCGCGAUGCGAAGGAGGCCGCUCGGCGCAAGGCCGCGGCCGACGAGAAGGAGGACAUCGUCAACCAAGCGCACGCCCUCCUCAUGCUUGGCAUGGGCCGUCCGGCUAGUUUCACUACAGCGGCCGUCGGCCCGGCGAGCACAGGCUUGUCGGUCGCCCGGCCUGCGCACUGCCAGUCGCCAGCGUCACGGACCACGCCCAUGUCGCCCGGCUUUCUUCCGCCAAGGCACGAUGGGCACACCCGUUUCUCUGGGUCGCCGGACGUUGGCUUGUUCGCGCCGUCACCGCGCCCCGCGGCCAUCAUCGACCUUAACGUCACGCCUGGGUCCAGCAGCGGCGCAACGGCACCAGUCGACGACCCCUUCUACAACCAGUACAUGGAGAACGUGAUCUUCGAGGUUGGGCACGGACGUGCCUACGACCCCGAGGAGACCCAAAGUCAGGAUGGCCGCGCCCAGUACAUCCCCGAUGAAGAGGCCGACGACCGUGCAGACUACGACCAUGGUGACUCGUGGCAUGAAGAUGAUGACAUCUAUGUCGAAGGUGAUGGUGAUGAAGAAGAAGAAGAAGGCAAUGACGUUGAUAUUAGUGGCGCGUCAUUGUUCAUCGACAAGCUGACCCAAAGAGCGGAAGCACAAAAGAAGAGGAAGAGCAUUUGCACGGGUUCAUACACACAAGAUGAGGACAAGUUGAUUUGCCAAGCUUGGAUGGAGAUUAGCCAAGAUCCGAGGACCGGCGCGCAACAAAAGGGCAUUGUUUUUUGGACGAGAGUCCACAAAACAUUCCAUGAAAGGAAGAUGUUCGAGCUCUACCAAAUUACAAGCAACUGUGGCAUCGACUCGAUUCAAAAGAGAUGGUUGUUCAUCCAACAAGAGUGCAACAAGUAUCAAGCCGCAUUUGAGAGCGUUGAAGCACGACCCGUGAGUGGUCUCGGCGUUGGGGACACGGCAUUUCAAUCUUUGGAGGCAUUCAAGGCCCGGCACAAUGACAAGCCAUUCACUCUUACGCAUUGUUGGACGCUCAUCAAUAAUUUCCCUAAGUUCAAGGACCAAUACCGUGAACUACAAAGGAAGAGAGGACUGAAGACGGCCAAGUUCGCCGGAGGUGGAGAUGGCGAGGCGUUGAAGAGGCCGAGGGGCAAGACCAACUCCAAGGUUGAUGACAUACGUGAUGCCUCAUCCAUGGCAUUGCAUGACACUUUGCAUGGCAUGAUGUCUCAAAAGGAUGUGAGGGACGAGAAGAAGCGGCAAAGCAAGGACGAGCAAAUAAAGCAAUACCUAGACCUUCAAAGAAAGAAGCUUGAGAUGGAGGAGGCGGCCAAGAAGAGGAAGAUCGACAUGGAGGAGGCGGCCCAGCAAAGGCAGCUCGACAUGGAAGAGGCCGCCUGGCAAAGGCAGCUCGACAUCGAGGCCGACAACGUCAAGGCCAGGCAGAGGCAGCUCGACAUCGAGGCCACCAAUGCCACCACCAAAGCGAAGGAGGUGGCCCUUGCGAUCAUGAGCGUGGACUUGUCGAAGAUGAGCGACAAGACGAGGGCCUGGUUCGAGGCAAGGCAGAAGGAGAUGCUCGACGCCGAAGGCCUGAACUAG
rnacentral:rRNA from 1 species